rnacentral:misc_RNA from 1 species
GUGAAUCAUCGAAUCUUUGAACGCAAAUUGCACUUCUCGGCAUUCCGGAAAGUAUGCCUGUUUGAGGGUCAGUUAAAUAAAAAUCGGUGUUGUUGCUGCCUUCCGCGGCGACGCGCUGGAUUUGAGUCGCCUUACCUCUGGUUAAGCUUCUUAUAAUUUUUGCAUGAUUUUCGAACGUAUUUAAAUCGCUUACGUACGUUUGAGAUAUCGAAUGCUUAUUAUGUUCGGUCA